rnacentral:rRNA from 1 species
GGCGGCAUGCCUUACACAUGCAAGUCGAACGGCAGCACGGGAGCAAUCCUGGUGGCGAGUGGCGAACGGGUGAGUAAUAUAUCGGAACGUGCCCAGUCGUGGGGGAUAACGUAGCGAAAGCUACGCUAAUACCGCAUACGAUCUAUGGAUGAAAGCGGGGGAUCGCAAGACCUCGCGCGAUUGGAGCGGCCGAUAUCAGAUUAGGUAGUUGGUGAGGUAAAGGCUCACCAAGCCGACGAUCUGUAGCUGGUCUGAGAGGACGACCAGCCACACUGGGACUGAGACACGGCCCAGACUCCUACGGGAGGCAGCAGUGGGGAAUUUUGGACAAUGGGCGCAAGCCUGAUCCAGCAAUGCCGCGUGCAGGAUGAAGCCUUCCGCGU